rnacentral:rRNA from 1 species
AACGAACGCUAGCGGCGUGCCUAACACAUGCAAGUCGAGCGAGAAAAGACUUCGGUCUAAGUAAAGCGGCGCACGGGUGAGUAACACGUGGGUAACGUACCCUCGGGUGGGGGAUAACAGACCGAAAGGUUUGCUAAUACCGCAUCAGACCACAGUCCUCGCGGGGACAGGGGUCAAAGGGGGCUGUCGCAAGGCAGCUCUCGCCUGAGGAUCGGCCCGCGGACCAUUAGCUAGUUGGUAGGGUAACGGCCUACCAAGGCUACGAUGGUUAGCUGGUCUAAGAGGAUGGUCAGCCACACUGGAACUGAGACACGGUCCAGACUCCUACGGGAGGCAGCAGCAAGGAAUUUUGCGCAAUGGGCGAAAGCCUGACGCAGCAACGCCGCGUGGGGGGAAGAAGGGCCCUUCGGGUUGUAAACCCCGUUUUCGUCGAGGGAAGGAAGAAUCUGACGGUACCUCGCGAAUAAGCCACGGCUAACUACGUGCCAGCAGCCGCGGUAAUGUAGUCG